GCAACCUCUGCCUCUCAGGUUCAAGUAAUUCUCCCACCUCAGCCUAUGAGGAGCUGGGACUACAGGCCUGCGCCACUGUGUCCGGAAUUAGUGGAUUCCUGGUCUGGCUGACUUCAAGAAUGACCCGCGGACCCUUGCGGACUAUGAGGCAGGUGUCAUCACUGCUAUGUUUCAGAUGGGCAAUGGCUCAUGAAGGAGAAGUAGAAUGCCUGAAGUCACAGCUACCUGGAGGGACAUCAACCCCAAUCUGAUUGCCUCUAAGUCGGGUGUUUUCUCACCGUCUAUGUUCUUUGGACUGGACAUCCAGCAUUGCCUCUCCCUUGCAGUUCUUGGGAUGGCCACUGUCCUUUACUGAUGAGCAAGCUGAACCUCAGAGGGCUUAGUGAUUGGCUUGAGGCACAGCUACCAAGGAUCAGUGACUGAGCCUCAAAACCACCUCUUCUGAGAGUACUGCUUUCUUACCCGAGGAUGGCCCAUCAGGGUGAUCUGGAAGGCAGAAGACGGGAGUUUUUCCAUGAACUCACUGUGGUGGGGGUGGUCCUUGGAAAAGUACUGAGUACACAGAAGUGGCGACAGGCAAAUGGAGAUCCUGGAAGAGAAGGUUUUCUACCAAAAUAUCCUUGUGAACAUGA